rnacentral:rRNA from 1 species
CGGCGGACGGGUGAGUAAUGUAUGGGGAUCUGCCUGAUGGCGGGGGAUAACUACUGGAAACGGUAGCUAAUACCGCAUAAUGUCUACGGACCAAAGCGGGGGACCUCCGGGCCUCGCGCCAUCAGAUGAACCCAUAUGGGAUUAGCUUGUAGGUAAGGUAACGGCUUACCUAGGCGACGAUCCCUAGCUGGUCUGAGAGGAUGAUCAGCCACACUGGGACUGAGACACGGUCCAG